UAACUUUAAAGAUGGAAAUCAGUCUAUUGAGAAGAGCCCAGAGCAGCAGCAGAAAGCAGACCCCCCUGGACCCAGCUGUGUCUCCAUGAAGAGUGACCACUCUAUGGAUAUACCAUAUCAAUUUAAAGAUGGACGGCCCUCCAGAGAGGAGAGACACCAGCAGAGGUCAAAGGUUACCAGUGCUCAGUCGCUACAGCAGCAUCAAACAGAGCUGAUCAAGGUGUGUAAAUGUCCACCGAGACGUUUGACUUCAUCUCUCCAUGAACAUCAGAAAGCAUCUCUUGUCCAGCGGGACGUGAAUCCAGGACAGAUGCUUCUGAUGUCCUCAGUUU